rnacentral:rRNA from 1 species
AGGACGAACGCUGGCGGCGUGCCUAACACAUGCAAGUCGAACGGGGGUAGCAAUACCCCAGUGGCGAACGGGUGCGUAACACGUGAAGAACUUGUCCAUCGGCGGGGGAUAGCCGGCCCAACGGCCGGGUAAUACCGCGUACGCCGUCUGAAGCGCAUGCUUCGGCCGGGAAAGCAGCAAUGCACCGAUGGAGAGCUUCGCGGCCUAUCAGCUAGUUGGCGGGGUAAUGGCCCACCAAGGCAACGACGGGUAGCUGGUCUGAGAGGAUGACCAGCCACAUUGGGACUGAGACACGGCCCAGACUCCUACGGGAGGCAGCAGUGGGGAAUAUUGCGCAAUGGGGGAAACCCUGACGCAGCGACGCCGCGUGUGGGAUGACGGCCUUCGGGUUGUAAACCACUGUCGCGAGGGACGAAAAAAUGACGGUACCUCGAAAGGAAGCACCGGCUAACUCUGCGCCAGCAGCCGC